GCCAGCGAGUAAUGUCGGGAACUCUAAGGAGACUGCCGGUGACAAACCGGAGGAAGGUGGGGACGACGUCAAGUCAUCAUGGCCCUUACGGGUAGGGCUACACACGUGCUACAAUGGUCAGUACAAAGGGUUGCCAACUCGCGAGAGUGCGCUAAUCCCAUAAAGCUGAUCUCAGUCCGGAUCGGAGUCUGCAACUCGACUCCGUGAAGUCGGAAUCGCUAGUAAUCGUGAAUCAGAAUGUCACGGUGAAUACGUUCCCGGGCCUU
rnacentral:rRNA from 1 species